GGAAAAUAUUCCCUGAAACUACCUUUCUCUUAUAAAAUUGAAUCAAAUUAAUAAUGUAUGCAUUUAGAAGGGGCUGCAGGAUACAGAAGAGCCUCGAGGAGCUUUGCAACCAGUCCAUUACUUUUUCCUUUGUUCCCGCUGAGAUUUCUCCAUUCAUCAGAUGGGGAGACAAUCUGUGGUCCAGGAAAGGGGUCUUGUUCUUGUCUCUGCUGGCACUCUGGAUCAAAUGCUACACACUGA
rnacentral:lncRNA from 1 species